UAGCUACAGGCUUAACACAUGCAAGUCGAGGGUAGCAGGGUAGCAAUACCGCUGACGACCGGCGCACGGGUGAGUAACACGUAUCCAACCUUCCCAUAACUCAGGGGGUAGCCUUUCGAAAGAAAGAUUAAUACCUGAUAGUACUUUUUCAAGGCAUCUUGAAAAAAGUUAAAGAUUUAUUGGUUAUGGAUGGGAUGCGUUCCAUUAGAUAGUUGGUGAGGUAACGGCUCACCAAGUCUUCGAUGGAUAGGGGUUCUGAGAGGAAGGUCCCCCACAUUGGUACUGAGACACGGACCAAACUCCUACGGGAGGCAGCAGUGAGGAAUAUUGGUCAAUGGGCGAGAGCCUGAACCAGCCAAGUAGCGUGAAAAGGAUGAAGGUCCUAUGGAUUGUAAACUUCUUUUAUAGUAGAAUAAAGUGAGCCACGUGUGGUUUUUUGUAUGUAUACUAUGAAUAAGGAUCGGCUAACUCCGUGCCAGCCGCGGC
rnacentral:rRNA from 1 species